rnacentral:lncRNA from 1 species
CAUAUAUUUGUGUUUUUUGUAUGUGUGUGUGUAUGAGAUAAACAUUCAACAAACUAGAUACUGCAAGAGAAAAACGACAAGCAUAUAACAAAGUUUCAUGUUUAUAUACACAUGAAGUCAAACAAAAACGAAAAUAAAAAGAUAAUUCAAAACACAGACGUUAUAAAGGAGGAAAGAAUCCCAGAGAAGUGCGGGCAUACGGCAGUUCGCCGCCAGGAUAAUGAAUACUCCCUGCUUCGUAGCUGCUGGGCAACAAUUGUAUUUACACAAAAUAAAAGCAUUACUUGAUUGGCUUUUACUUUUAAAAAUGCUUAUUUAGUUACCAAAAAAGUAAAAACUCACAAUUCUUAUCACUCUUCUUCUCUCUAUAGUCUUAUAAUUUUAGUCUCCUCCGCGAUUAUUACGACAAAAAAUGACUCCUUAUUUCCCUCUCUUUCUCAGUCUAUAUUGGAAUCCUUUGUUUCCUCUUUCUCCAUAUUUCCUUUCCCUUUCUCUCCCUUCUCCAAGAGUACUAUAUGCUUGAAAAAAUUCUGCAGGUCAACCUAAAACAACGAUGAGGUAGAUACAAUUCUAUGUUGACAAGGUCUCUCAAAGCCCGUGUGAAUAAUUCAUCUCAGAUUGUUAUUUGUGAAAACAAAAGGAUCAACCGCUUUUAAAAUCCAUUAUCACACAGAAGAGGUACUGUAUCAACUUGAUAAGCAUGUUUUUUCAACUUCAAGUUUGUGAUAGUGGAACACCAAAAUCAAGGUUCCAAAUUGCAAAGG